rnacentral:rRNA from 1 species
UACGUAGGAGGCGAGCGUUGUCCGGAUUUAUUGGGCGUAAAGAGCGCGUAGGCGGCUGACUAAGUCUGGUGUGAAAUCUCCCGGCCCAACUGGGAGGGGUCACUGGAUACUGGUCAGCUUGAGUGCAGCAGAGGGAUGUAGAAUUCCCGGUGUAGUGGUGAAAUGCGUAGAUAUCGGGAGGAAUACCAGUGGCGAAGGCGGCAUCCUGGGCUGUAACUGACGCUGAGGCGCGAAAGCGUGGGGAGCGAACCGGAUUAGAUACCCGGGUAGUCCACGCCGUAAACGAUGAACACUAGGUGUGGGGGGUAUCGACCCCCUCCGUGCCGAAGCUAACGCGAUAAGUGUUCCGCCUGGGGAGUACGGCCGCAAGGCUAAA